AGUCUGUUAUGUCCAAACAUGGAAUGAGUCGCAUGUGACUAAGUCAACCAAAUGUGGCAACAACAAUUAGUCGGUGGAAAACAACACAUUCAUUCCUGAGGAUGGUUUUGAGUUUAUCUAUGCUUAUUGCCAACUGGAAGGAUUCCUCUUUUUCACAGAACUUUACCAUUUUCAUGGUAUGUUAGCGGAUUGUCAAUUGGCAUCAUUAGAAUGGUAUGGUCCAUAUCAGCAGUGUUAUGAUGCACUUCUUAAAUACACCGAUCCCUCAGAAAA